UGAAACUUCUAAAUGGCUGAGCUGG
rnacentral:piRNA from 1 species